CUGAUUACGGGGUAGCAAUAUCUCGUANUCGGAGCGGCGCAAGGGUGCGUAACACGUGGGUAAUCUGCCAUGAAGUUUGGGAUAACUUGCUGAAAGGCGAGCUAAUACCGGAUGUGAAGAUUGGGGGGCAUCUUCUGAUUUUCAAAGCUGGGGACCGUAAGGCCUGGCGCUUCAUGAUGAGCCCGCGGCCUAUCAGCUAGUUGGUAAGGUAACGGCUUACCAAGGCUAAGACGGGUAGCUGGUCUGAGAGGACGACCAGCCACACUGGAACUGAGACACGGUCCAGACACCUACGGGUGGCAGCAGUCGAGAAUUUUUCACAAUGGGCGCAAGCCUGAUGGAGCGACGCCGCGUGGGGGAUGAAUGGCUUCGGCCCGUAAACCCCUGUCAUUUGCGAACAAUUCGUUCCACCUAACACGUGGAGCGUCGGUAGUAGCGAAAGAGGAAGGGACGGCUAACUCUGUGC
rnacentral:rRNA from 1 species